AAGACUUUCAUAUUGAAAUGAGCAUUGUCAUGACGGUGAGUGUCGCUCUAGUUGCCUGGCCUGGAGGAUUAAAACUAUUCAGAGAUCCGCUGCUAGAGACAGACGAUCAUAUGGAGAAAACCCUGUACUAUAAUAAAACUGGAAGAUCUGAACCGUCUUUGCCUGUGAUUGUAUAUGGCUGUCAAAAUAUGGAAUUUUCUGUAUUGUGCAUUAACAUCUCGUGGAGAGGAGCCUGAAGGUCCAGAUGCCAGGCAAGAGCCCCAGUUUGCUCCAGAGACUGUCCUGGGUAAAGAACAAGAAGAUGAUCAUCCAACAAGCAGAAAGCUUCCAUCCAUCAAUGAGCCCCAAAAUCUCCUCCUGACAGCUGAUCCUCCUGAGGAUGGAACUGAAGUGGAUGAAGUUGGUAUGACUUUUUCCAAACAUUGGCUGCACUUAUGUGUGCUUCACUUAUAACCCGUCAGUGGUUGGGACGGUGACCUCUCGUCUAUAUUACUGCCGUUACACCUGACCCCCCCACCCGGUCUUCCAGAAGACAGGAACCAGCAUCCAAGAACAUCUUGAUUCCAUCACAACAAGCACACAACCCUACCUCCUGGCUGCAGGACGGCUGCAUGCCAUCUCUUGCAGGUCGGCUUCUCACUUGGUGCUUUUAAUGAAUUGUUUAAGGUGCGUUAUGUUUUUGCCACAACAUACAACCUGAUGCUGCACAACACUUCAUCCAGACCACUGAGUACAACAUCGAUAUUGGCAACGUGAAGGAGUCCCUGUGUCGCAGACGUUCGGUCGAGGAUGUUUCAGUAGUACUUACAGAUCUGUUGUGUUUGUCAUACUGAGUUAACUUCUUAGUUAACACUUUUUAGGUGUUUGCAAGUAGUUCAUAGUUCUGCUGGGCUGACACAAAACCAUUUUCACAGUCCCAGAAAAUGUCAGGUUUAAGGUGGAAAUCUGCACUGUUUCAUAUCAGUCUUUAGAUAAUUUCAAACGUAUUUGAUAUA